rnacentral:rRNA from 1 species
UACGUAGGGUGCAAGCGUUAAUCGGAAUUACUGGGCGUAAAGCGUGCGCAGGCGGUUUUGUAAGUCUGACGUGAAAUCCCCGGGCUCAACCUGGGAAUUGCGUUGGAGACUGCAAGGCUAGAAUCUGGCAGAGGGGGGGGUAGAAUUCCACGUGUAGCAGUGAAAUGCGUAGAUAUGUGGAGGAACACCGAUGGCGAAGGCAGCCCCCUGGGUCAAGAUUGACGCUCAUGCACGAAAGGCGUGGGGAGCAAACAGG